rnacentral:rRNA from 1 species
UACGGAGGGGGCUAGCGUUGUUCGGAAUUACUGGGCGUAAAGCGUGCGCAGGCGGUUUUUUAAGACAGGCGUGAAAUCCCCGGGCUUAACCUGGGAACUGCGCUUGUGACUGGAAGGCUAGAGUACGGCAGAGGGGGGUGGAAUUCCACGUGUAGCAGUGAAAUGCGUAGAGAUGUGGAGGAACACCGAUGGCGAAGGCAGCCCCCUGGGCCGAUACUGACGCUCAUGCACGAAAGCGUGGGGAGCAAACAGG